GAUGAACGCUGGCGGUAUGCCUAACACAUGCAAGUCGUACGAGAGUUUUUAAUUCAAGUGGCGGACGGGUGAGUAACACGUAAGAAUUUGCCUUUAGGAGGGGGACAACAACUGGAAACGGUUGCUAAUACCCCAUAUGCUUUCGAGUGAAAUGGAUUUUUCCGCCUAAAGAGAAGCUUGCGGCUGAUUAGCUUGUUGGUGAGGUAAUGGCUCACCAAGGCGACGAUCAGUAUCUGGUUUGAGAGGAUGAUCAGACACACUGGAACUGAGACACGGUCCAGACUCCUACGGGAGGCAGCAGUGGGGAAUUUUCCGCAAUGGGCGAAAGCCUGACGGAGCAAUACCGCGUGAGGGAAGAAUGCCUAUGGGUUGUAAACCUCUUUUUCAGGGAGGAAUAAAAUGACGUGUACCUGAAGAAUAAGCAUCGGCUAACUCCGUG
rnacentral:rRNA from 1 species